rnacentral:rRNA from 1 species
UGGGGAAUAUUGCACAAUGGGCGCAAGCCUGAUGCAGCCAUGCCGCGUGUGUGAAGAAGGCCUUCGGGUUGUAAAGCACUUUCAGCGGUGAGGAAGGCGAUAAGGUUAAUAACCUUGUCGAUUGACGUUACCCGCAGAAGAAGCACCGGCUAACUCCGUGCCAGCAGCCGCGGUAAUACGGAGGGUGCAAGCGUUAAUCGGAAUUACUGGGCGUAAAGCGCACGCAGGCGGUUUGUUAAGUCAGAUGUGAAAUCCCCGGGCUCAACCUGGGAACUGCAUCUGAUACUGGCAAGCUUGAGUCUCGUAGAGGGGGGUAGAAUUCCAGGUGUAGCGAUGAAAUGCGUAGAGAUCUGGAGGAAUACCGGUGGCGAAGGCGGCCCCCUGGACGAAGACUGACGCUCAGGUGCGAAAGCGUGGGGAGCAAACAGG